rnacentral:rRNA from 1 species
CGUGUAGGCGGAUAUGUAGGUCAGAUGUGAAAUCCCUCGGCUCAACCGAGGAACUGCAUCUGAAACCAUGUGUCUUGAGUACGAGAGAGGAAAGUGGAAUUCCCAGUGUAGAGGUGAAAUUCAUAGAUAUUGGGAGGAACACCGGUGGCGAAGGCGGCUUUCUGGCUCGAUACUGACGCUGAGACGCGAAAGCGUGGGGAGCAAACAGGAUUAGAUACCCUGGUAGUCC